rnacentral:rRNA from 1 species
GACGAACGCUGGCGGCGUGCUUAACACAUGCAAGUCGAGCGGAAAGGCCCUUCGGGGUACUCGAGCGGCGAACGGGUGAGUAACACGUGAGUAAUCUGCCCUUCACUCUGGGAUAGCCACCGGAAACGGUGAUUAAUACCGGAUACGACCAAUCCCUGCAUGGGGUGUUGGUGGAAACUUUUUUGGGUGGGGGAUGUGCUCGCGGCCUAUCAGCUUGUUGGUGGGGUAAUGGCCUACCAAGACUUCGACGGGUAGCCGGCCGGAGAGGGUGACCGGCCACACUGGGACUGAGACACGGCCCAGACUCCUACGGGAGGCAGCAGUGGGGAAUAUUGGACAAUGGGCGGAAGCCUGAUCCAGCAACGCCGCGUGAGGGAUGACGGCCUUCGGGUUGUAAACCUCUUUCAGCACCGACGAAGCGCAAGUGACGGUAGGUGCAGAAGAAGGACCGGCCAACUACGUGCCAGCCGCCGCCGUAACAC